AAACCGUUCAGGGGUAAACCUGAGAAACCCAAAAGAUCGAAUGGGGAGAUUCAUCGUCAGCUUAUUUUGUAUAUAUGCAAGUUGUGAUAUGGGUUNACUACUUGUAGUAUUGCCUGUACNNUCUNGUAUAUUUAUUUGCAANGAUAUUGUCGGCGUGCACUUCUCCCCUAGUAGGACNGUCGCGACCCGUUGAGUGUUGGUUCUUACGGCCCAAGUGGGAGCUUUUGAUAAAUUUUAUUUAUUGAAAACCCUUGGUGUUUCCUGACUGGCAUUCGGCGGUAUUCGUAUGGUAUUGAGCCGCAUAUUAUAUGCGUCCCUGUCCAUCGCAAGCGAGGUUAGUUACUGAUAGUGCGGACCUAGUGCCGUCGUUGGUCCUAACCAGCUGUUGGUUGUAUGGAAUUCUAGGACAGGCUCGUUGAAAUACCGGUCAGCGAUGCUACUGCUUUGGGUACUUUCAGGACCCGUCUUGAAACACGGACCAAGGAGUCUAACAUGUACGCGAGUCAUUGGGAUUUUUAUAAAUUAAACCUAAAGGCGUAAUGAAAGUAAAGGUCGUCCUUGUGUCGGCUGAGGGAGGAUGGGCUGUGUUUUCGAGAUAGCUCCGCACUCCCGGGGCGUCUCAUUCUCAUUGCGAGAAGAGGCGCACCUAGAGCGUACACGUUGG
rnacentral:rRNA from 1 species